rnacentral:tRNA from 1 species
GGAGGGGUGGCAGAGUGGUCGAAUGCGGCGGUCUUGAAAACCGUUGAAGGUUUGCGCCUUCCGGGGGUUCGAAUCCCCCUCCCUCCG